rnacentral:rRNA from 1 species
UGGCGGCAUGCUUACACAUGCAAGUCGAACGGCAGCACGGGAGCAAUCCUGGUGGCGAGUGGCGAACGGGUGAGUAAUACAUCGGAACGUGCCCAAUCGUGGGGGAUAACGCAGCGAAAGCUGUGCUAAUACCGCAUAAGAUCUACGGAUGAAAGCAGGGGAUCGCAAGACCUUGCGCGAAUGGAGCGGCCGAUGGCAGAUUAGGUAGUGGGUGAGGUAAAGGCUCACCAAGCCUUCGAUCUGUAGCUGGUCUGAGAGGACGACCAGCCACACUGGGACUGAGACACGGCCCAGACUCCUACGGGAGGCAGCAGUGGGGAAUUUUGGACAAUGGGCGAAAGCCUGAUCCAGCCAUGCCGCGUGCAGGAUGAAGGCCUUCGGGUUGUAAACUGCUUUUGUACGGAACGAAAAGUCUCUUUCUAAUAAAGAGGGAUCAUGACGGUACCGUAAGAAUAAGCACCGGCUAACUACGUGCCAGCAGCCGCGGUAAUACGUAGGGUGCAAGCGUUAAUCGGAAUUACUGGGCGUAAAGCGUGCGCAGGCGGUUAUAUAAGACAGUUGUGAAAUCCCCGGGCUCAACCUGGGAACUGCAUCUGUGACUGUAUAGCUAGAGUACGGUAGAGGGGGAUGGAAUUCCGCGUGUAGCAGUGAAAUGCGUAGAUAUGCGGAGGAACACCGAUGGCGAAGGCAAUCCCCUGGACCUGUACUGACGCUCACGCACGAAAGCGUGGGGAGCAAACAGGAUUAGAUACCCUGGUAGUCCACGCCCUAAACGAUGUCAACUGGUUGUUGGGUCUUCACUGACUCAGUAACGAAGCUAACGCGUGAAGUUGACCGCCUGGGGAGUACGGCCGCAAGGUUGAA